UACGGAGGGUGCAAGCGUUAAUCGGAAUUACUGGGCGUAAAGCGUGCGCAGGCGGUUUGUUAAGUCUGUUGUGAAAUCCCCGAGCUCAACUUGGGAAUUGCAAUGGAUACUGGCAGGCUCGAGUAUGGUAGAGGAAGGUGGAAUUCCCGGUGUGGCAGUGAAAUGCGUAGAGAUCGGGAGGAACACCAGUGGCGAAGGCGGCCUUCUGGACCAAUACUGACGCUCAUGCACGAAAGCGUGGGGAGCAAACAGG
rnacentral:rRNA from 1 species